UUGGCCACAAUUGUAUUUGCAUUGAAGAUUUGGAGACACUAUUUGUACGGUGUGACAUGUAGGAUUUUCACCGAUCACAAGAGUUUGAAGUACAUAUUCACUCAAAAGGAGUUGAACAUGAGACAACGGCGAUGGUUGGAGUUGAUUAAGGAUUACGACUUGGAGAUUCAGUAUCAUGAAGGGAAAACCAAUGUUGUAGCUGAUGCAUUGAGUAGGAAGUCAAGUCAUGCAAUUAAUGCGAUGAUCCUACCAUAUCAAUUAUGUGUGGAGUUCCAAAAGAUGAAUUUGGAGGUAUUGGAACAAGGAGAGGAAAAGAAAAUUUUGGCUGCCCUGUUGAGUAAACCGUCGAUUUAUGAUGAGAUUCGAGAAAGUCAACUUGGGGACGAGAAGUUCAACAAGAUUAAAGAAAAGAUCGAGGAAGGAAAAUAUUCACUAGUAGAAAAAUACAAUAAGGCACCCCCAUAAAGGCACCGGUUCAGGCCAAACCGGUGCCCUGAACCAGCCCAAAUUUGGGCGCCAUUUUACACAAAUAUAAAAGGCACCGGUUCAGACCAAACCGGUGCCAAAAACUAAAAGGGCACCGGUUUGAACCGGUGCCAAUUGAACCACUCCUUAAUAAAAAAAAAACGGUUUAACAUUAUUAUAAUAAAAAAAAACCCUCUCAUAUAUAAACCCCCCCAAACCCUAACACUCAUUUCGCCGCUUCUCCCUCCUCUUCUCUGAUCUCCUUCUCUUUCUCUCUCCUCCUCUUUCGCUCAUCACCAGUCUUUCUCAUCUCCUCCUCCUUCCCUUUCGCUACCACGUCUACUUCUCCUUCUCCUUCAAGCCAACCACGAAGACCACCACGGAGACCACCACGAACAUCACCACGGAGAACACCACGAGCACAUGCAACACCACGAACCGGUGAAGAAUCAAGGUGUUGCUUUUGGAAUUUUGAUUUCAAUGUUGUAAUUUUUUUUUUCUUCGAUGUGUAAUUUUUUUUUCUUCAAUGUUAUAAUUUUUUUUUUUUCUGGAUUUUGAUGUUGUAAUUUAUUUAAUUUUUUUGUAUUGUAAAAUAACAAUUUAAUCAUCAAUAUAUUUCGUAUUCAAGCUUGUUAUA